rnacentral:tRNA from 1 species
GCCCCCGUAGCUCAGUUGGAUAGAGCAUCGGCCUCCGGAGCCGGCGGCCCGCGUUCAAGUCGCGGCGGGGGUA